CCUACGGGGGGCAGCAGUGGGGGAUAUUGCACAAUGGGGGAAACCCUGAUGCAGCGACGCCGCGUGUGGGAAGACGGUCUUCUGGAUUGAAAACCACUGUCCCCAGGGACGAAAAUGACGGUACCUGGGGAGGAAGCUCCGGCCAACUACGUGCAAGCAGCCGCGGUAAUACGGAGGGAGCAAGCGUUGUCCGGAAUUACUGGGUGUAAAGGGAGCGUAGGCGGGGAUGCAAGUUGGGUGUCAAAACUACCGGCUCAACCGAUAGUCGCACUCAAAACUGCAGCUCUUGAGUGAAGUAGAGGCAGGCGGAAUUCCUAGUGUAGCGGUGAAAUGCGUAGAUAUUAGGAGGAACACCAGUGGCGCAGGCGGCCUGCUGGGCUUUUACUGACGCUGAGGCUCGAAAGUGUGGGGAGCAAACAGGAUUAGAUACCCCAGUAGUC
rnacentral:rRNA from 1 species